ensembl:lncRNA LINC00354 long intergenic non-protein coding RNA 354
GUGCCGCUGUUUUCAAUGCGCUAACGAGGCACGUUAUUCUUAGCCGCGUCCGGGAGGGGAUCACAUUCCUGCGCAGUUGCGCUGCUGGCGGAAGUGACUUGUUUUCUAACGACCCUCGUGACAGCCAGAGAAUGUCCGUUUCUCGGAGCGCAGCACAGCCUGUCCCAUCGAGAAGCCUCGGGUGGACAUGGACUCCAUGGAAGCCUGAGCUGCCAGGGGCUUCCCUGGGGCAGCACUGCUUCGCGUAGGCUCACGAGAAACUUCCAGGGUUCCUGGGUAAGGAAGACACAGCAAGAGCUGGCCUCUGCCGCAUCUGCCUUUGUCACCAGACGCCCAUCUUUAGGGCACCUCUCUCUCCGCUGCUUGAGUUUUAGGGUCUUGCCAUAAAACUUCAUUAAGGCCUCCCAGGCGAGGCUCAAAGCACCCUGCCCCGCGUAGGAAAAGGUUCAGAGCACAUAGAGAAAAGAGCAAGGUUGCACCCCAAAAGAAUGACAGGCAGGGAGACAAAUGCUGGCUCAGCCAGCCUGACUCCAUUCCCUGGGGGGCCGAGAGGGAUGUACGAUGGGUCUUGUGAGGGUGGAGGGUGCCUGCCUCGCCCGAGGGAUGCUGUGCCCAUGCCCCUGCUGCCAGUUCACCCAAAGCAGUUGACGUUUUUAAACGAGCACAAAGUCUCUGCUCUUCAGAGUGUGACGGGCUGCCCCUGUCUGCAAAAGCUGUCCCCGAAUAGGCUUUCUCUGAGCUUGUUACCGUGGAGGGCUGGGCCCGGUUUCUAAUCGCCCCCUUCACCGGGCUGCCUGCCGCUGGCUGCGGAAAGUGUGGGUUUGGCUGCAUGAUGGCCUCGUAAUGGCUGUGGUGACGCCCUCUGCGUCUUCUCCCAGCGCCAGCCUUUCAACAGAGCAGCACAUUAUGCCUGGAUAAGACUCAAAGAGCAGCUUAAUAUCAGGUUCUCUGGGGCUGUAAUCAUCGGUUCAGGAUGGAGCAGACACAGCCGCAGCAAGGCCUCUGUGCAGCCCCCGGUUUAAAACACAUCAACGCAUCCGUGGGCACUUUUGUGAGUUAAAGCUCAACUUACACAUCUGCCUGUAUCCAUAGGAAAUGAAUGAAAAUAAACAAACAAAUUCCUUGCAUUCAACGCAGCGUAAGAAAAAUCACAUCCUGUUCCCCAGUAGCUGAGGAAAGCCGGCUCACGAGAGUAUACAGGGAGAAGAGGCCAGCAUUGUGUGGCUGCCAGCAAAGCUCACUUGUAUGUCAAAUGCAGCGCUUUUCUUAGCCCAUUAUGUAUUUUUUUUUUCUUGAACACUCCUGUGUCUACUGGGAUCUCCUGUUUUUAUUGUUUUGGGAUGAGAUUUUAAAAACACCAUUUAAUGUAGCCUGUGUGCUCUUGUUCAUUAAACCAAAAAGAAACCCUGGAUCACGGCACAGGAGACUCUCCUCCCCGUUCUCUAGGGAUGCGCCCU